rnacentral:tRNA from 1 species
GUCCCCGUAGAUUAGUGGUUAGAUCAUCACGUUGUGGCUGUUCAGCGCAUCCGUGGAGACCCAGGCUCGACUCCUGGCAGGGACA